rnacentral:rRNA from 1 species
CAGCAGUAGCCGCGGUAAUACAGAGGGUGCGAGCGUUAAUCGGAUUUACUGGGCGUAAAGCGUGCGUAGGCGGCUUCUUAAGUCGGAUGUGAAAUCCCUGAGCUUAACUUAGGAAUUGCAUUCGAUACUGGGAAGCUAGAGUAUGGGAGAGGAUGGUAGAAUUCCAGGUGUAGCGGUGAAAUGCGUAGAGAUCUGGAGGAAUACCGAUGGCGAAGGCAGCCAUCUGGCCUAAUACUGACGCUGAGGUACGAAAGCAUGGGGAGCAAACAGGAUUAGAUACCCGCGUAGUCCCUGUCUCUUAUAA